UGCCAGUUCUUUAUGUUGAAUCCACAUCUGUGUCUCUGCAACUCACACUCCUUGGAGCCGUGCAGAGCAAAAUGUCUAAUGCUGCUUCCACAAAUAUUUGAAGGCCACAAACACAUUUCCUCCUUCCACUCACUCCACAAGGCUCUUUUCUUCCAGCUCAGCAUGCCCAGUGGUUUUGAACAGGGAGGCAGUGUGGGGUAGUGGAAAGAAGGCCAGCUUCGGAGCCAGACAUCU
rfam:Sorex araneus cont1.061448, whole genome shotgun sequence.